rnacentral:rRNA from 1 species
GAUGAACGCUGGCGGCGUGCCUAAUACAUGCAAGUCGAGCGAACAGACGAGGAGCUUGCUCCUUGGACGAUAGCGGCGGGCGGGUGAGUAACAUGUGGAUAACCUACCUAUAUGACUGGUAUAACCUGGGGAAACCGGAGAAAAUACCGGAUAAUCUAUUGAACCGCAGGGUUCAAUAGUGAAAGACGGUUUUGCUGUCACUUAUAGAUGGAUCCGCGCUGCAUUGGCUAGUUGGUACGGUAACGGCUUACCAAGGCAACGAUGCGUAGCCGACCUGAGAGAGUGAUAGGCCGCACGGUAACAUAGACACGGACCUGACGCCUACGGGAGGCAGCAGUAGGGAAUCUGCCGCAAUGGUCGAAAGCCUGACGGAGCGACGCCGCGUCAGUGAUGAAGGUCUUCGGAUCGUAAAACUGUGUUACUAGGGAGAAACAAAUGUAGAAGUAACUAUGCACGUCUUGACGGUACCGGAUAAAGAAGCCACGGCUAACUACGUG